AACGAACGCUGGCGGCAGGCCUAACACAUGCAAGUCGAGCGGACCCUUCGGGGUUAGCGGCGGACGGGUGAGUAACGCGUGGGAAUAUGCCCUUCUCUACGGAAUAGUCCUGGGAAACUGGGGGCAAUACCGUAUACGCCCUUUGGGGGAAAGAUUUAUCGGGGAAGGAUUAGCCCGCGUUGGAUUAGGUAGUUGGUGGGGUAAUGGCCUACCAAGCCGACGAUCCAUAGCUGGUUUGAGAGGAUGAUCAGCCACACUGGGACUGAGACACGGCCCAGACUCCUACGGGAGGCAGCAGUGGGGAAUCUUAGACAAUGGGGGCAACCCUGAUCUAGCCAUGCCGCGUGAGUGAUGAAGGCCUUAGGGUUGUAAAGCUCUUUCAGCUGGGAAGAUAAUGACGGUACCAGCAGAAGAAGCCCCGGCUAACUCCGUG
rnacentral:rRNA from 1 species